GUCCCCUUCGUCUAGUGGCCCAGGACUCUGCCCUUUCACGGCAGAAACAGGGGUUCGAACCCCCUAGGGGACGCCA
rnacentral:tRNA from 1 species